AGUAAGUUAGAGGCUUUUAUUUAGACAUUGUUUUUGUCACUCCCCGAGGUUACUCCCGUGACAUAACGCGGGACCUAGAAUCACGAGUAACCUCAAGCUAACCUUGAGUUGUCAUAUCAUAAGCAUAUUAGAUCAACACCUUAAAAAACCUUUACAAGCAUAAACCUAAGAAAUUUUAAACCCCUAAGAAACCCUAAACCCUAAGAAACACUAAACCCUCAGAAAUCAUAAACGCUAAAUCCUAUACCCUAAGAAACUCUAAAUCCUUAACUCUAAACCAUAGGUCUAAACCCUAAACCUCAAACCAUAUGAAACACUAAGAAAUCCUAAACCCUAAGAAAACCUAGUUCCUAAAAUCCAUUAAAACCCCUAAUACUAUAAUACUCGGGGAAAAAAAUAAAUCCCUUUAAAACCCUAAGCCUUAAAAAAAUCCUAUGCCCUAAUUCCUACGUAACCCUAAAUCUUAAGAAAUCCAAAUUCUUUAAAAGCCCUGAGAAACCCUAAAACAUUUAAAACCCUAAUCAUAAAAAUAAUAAAACUUAAAAAAACCAUAAACCCUAAAAAAAAUCUUAACCUAAAACCCGAAACCCUAAACCUUAAACCCUAUACCUUAGGGCCUAAACCCUAAACCUUUGGCCUUAACCCUAAACAUAAAGAAACCCUUAAAACACCUAAGAACCGUUUAAAACUCUAAACCUAGAAACCCUUCAGAAAUCAUAAGCAUAAACCCUUAAAAAACUCAAAAGAAAUAAUCGUUAAACCUAAAACCCUAAGCCCUAUACUCUAAACCAGGAAACCCUACCAUACUCUAAGAAACACUAAACACUAAGAAACUCUAAACCUUAAACCCUUAUAAGCGCUAAUACCUUAAAACCUAAGAUCCUAAACCCUAAACCCUAAGAAACCUUAUACCUAAGAAACCCUAAUACCCUAAACCCUAUGAAACCUUAAAAACCUUAAAAAAACACUAAACCUAUAUUCUCUAACAAAAAAAAAACCCCUUUUAAAACCCCUAAAAUCAUUAAACCUAAAACACAGUAAGCCCUACACCAUAAUUUACCCUAAAAUCAUUUUUAAAAAAUCCUAAACCCUAUGAAACCCUAAACCCUAAAAAUCACUAAGAAAACCUAAACCCUAAAAAUCACUAACAAAACCAAAACCUUAAAAAAAAACUUUAAAACUCCCAAACCUAAGGUAUCCUCAAUCCCAAAUUUUAAACCCUGAAUCAUUUACCCUAAGAAACCCUAAAUUGUAAGCCAAAAACCCAAACCCUAAACCCAAAAAAACAAUAAGAAAAACCUAAACCCUAAAAAAAUAACAAAAAAUACUUUAAAAACUCUAAACCUUAGAAACCUCUAAAAAAUCUUAAACGUCACAAAUAUAAACCCUAAACCCUAGAAAAACCCUAAACCUAAAACACUAAACCCUAAAUGACCCAAAAAAAACUAGGAGACCUUAAAUGUUAAACUCAAACCCUAAGAAACCUAAACCCUAAACUUUAGGGAUAAACCCCCAAGCCUAAUCCUUAUGAAACUCUAAGAAUCCCUAAAUACUAACAAAAACAAAACACUAAUGACCUUUAAAACCCUAAAACUAAAAAUCCCAAAAACAAACCUUACAAACCCUGAAAAAAUUCCAUAAUCUAAAACCCUAAGUCCUAAGCCCUUAGAACUCCUAAACCGUAAAAACAUUAAUGAUCCUUAAAAAUCUUUAAAAAUCCUAAGUCGAAAAAAAACUCAUAACCUAAAAAAAUCCAAGAAAAACUUAAGCUCUAAACCCUAACCUAAAAAUCUUUACCCAAAUACCUAAACUCUUAUUAAUCAUGUUCAGAUUAUACCAUUGUUCAAUAUGCUCUAUUUAGUUAUAUAUAUUUGUUCAGCUUUAUCCUAUCAUGCAUGCUCAGUACCUUUUAAGUACUGACACAUAUUCUAUGCUACAUCUACUCGGGAUGUAGGUACAGGUCCUCGACAUUCGGAUCAUGCGGAGAUCGGUUCCCGAUCCGUAUUCAGCAAUAUCAGUGGUGAGUCCUCGUUCUUCGAGGACGAUUGACAUGUUUUAUAUUCUGUCUUUCAUUUUAUUUUCAGUUUUGCUAAAGUUAGUUAGGGGCAUGUCCUAGCAUCUCUAGUAAGUUAGAGGCUUUUAUUCAGACAUUGUUUUUGUCACUCCCCGAGGUUACUCCCGUGACGUAACGCGGGACCUAGGAUCACAAGUAACCCCAAGCUAACCUUGAGUUGGCAUAUCAUAAGCAUAUUAGAUCAACACCUUAAAAAACCUUUACAAGCCUAAACCUAAGAAAUUUGAAAUCCCUAAGAAACCCUAAACCCUAAUAAACACUAAACCCUCAGCCUUAGGGAAACCCCUAAAACCCAAGACUUAUGAAACACCAACAAAUCCUAAACCCUAAGAAAUCCUAAACCAUAAAAACACCUUUAAAAACACUAAUCCUAAAAAAUCCAUUAAAUCCCCUAACCCCUAAAAAACCCUAAAUCUAAAAUCCUAAACCCUAAACUCAAAGAAAUCCUAAUCCCUAAGAACCCCUAAACCGUAGAAAAUUAUAAAAAUCUCGAAAAAACCUUUUAAAAUCCUAAACCGAAAAAAAACUCUAAACCUAAAAAUUCUACAAAAACUUAAGCCCUAAGCCUUAAACCUUAAAAACACUUAAAUUAAAAACUUAGACCUUCAACCCUAAACCUAAGAAACCCUAAAAGUUCAACUCUUUGACCAAAGAAACCCUGAACCUUAGGGCUAAACCCUAAGAGUCUACCUUAAGAAAUAAAAAAAAACCCUAAAAAACAUUUAAAACCGCUAAAUCCUAAACUUUUAAAAACCCUAAACCUUAUAAAAACCCUAAGCCCUAACAACCCCUUAAUCGUAAAAAUACCAUAAAUAUCCUAAACACCCUUUAAAACCCUAAACCUCAAAAUUCCUUUAAACCUAAUAAAACCCUAGAAAAUCUUAAUCCCAAAACCCUAAAUCCUAAAAACCCUUUAAAAAACCAAACCCUAAGAAAUCAUAAACGUUACAUCCUAUACCCUAAGAAACUCUAAAUCCUUAACUAUAAACCAUAGGGCUAAACCCUAAACCUAAAACAAUAUGAAACACAAAGAAAACCUAAACCCUAAAAUCCAUUAAAACCCCUAAUACUAUAAUACUCGGGGAAAUAUAUAAAUCACUUUAAAACCCUAAGCCUUAAAAAAAUCCUAUGCCCUAAAUCCUACGUAACCCUAAAUCUUAAGAAAUCCCAAUUCUUAAAAAACCCUAAGAAACCCUAAAACAUUUCAAAAAGCUAAUCAUAAAUAUAAUAAACCUAAAAAUGACCAUAAACCCUAAAAAAACUCUUAAGCUAAAACCCCAAACCCUAAACCCUAAACCCUAUACCUUAGGGCGUAAACCAUAAACCUUUGGCCUUAACCCUAAACAUAAAGAAACCCUUAAAAUCCCUAAAAACCCUUAAGAAAUCAUAAGCAUAAACCCUUAAAAAACUCAAAAAAAUUAUUUUUAUAGCUAAAACCCUAAGCCCUAAACUCUAUACCAUGAAACACUAUCAUACUCUAAGAAACACUAAGCCCUAAGAAACUCUAAACAUUAAACGCCUUAUAAACCCUAAUACCUUAAAACCUAAGAUCCUAAACCCUAAACCCUAAGAAACCUUAUACCUAAGAAACCCUAAUACCCUAAACCCUAUUAAACCUUAAAAACCUUUAAAAACUCUAAACCUAUAUUCUCAAAAAAAAAAAAACGCUUUUAAAACCCCUAAAAACCAUAAACCCAAAAAACAAUAAGCCCUACACCAUAAUUUACCCUAAAAUCAUUUUAAAAGAAUCCUAAACCCUAUAAAACCCUAAACCCUAAAAAUCACUAAGAAAACCUAAACCCUAAAAAUCACUAAGAAAACCAAAACCUUAAAAAAAAUCUUUAAAACCCUUAAACAUAAGGAACCCUAAAUCCCAAACUUUAAACCCUGAAUCCUUUACCCUAAGAAACCCUAAAUCGUAAACCAAAAACCCAAACUCUAAGAAAACCCCAAACCCUAAACCCAAAAAAACACUAAGAAAAACCUAAAUCCUAAAAAACAACACAAAACACUUUAAAAAUUCUAAACCUCAAAAACUUAACAAACAUAAACCCUAAACCCUAGAAAAACCCUAAACCUAAAACACUAAACCCUAAAAGACCCAAAGAAACCCUACGAAACCUAAACCCUAAACCUUAAUGAUAAAUCCCCAAGCCUAAUCCUUAUGAAACUCUAAGAAUCCCUAAAUACUAACAAAAACAAAACACUAAUAACCUUUAAAACUCUAAAACUAAAAAUCCCGAAAACAAACCUUACAAACCCUAAAAAAUUCCAUAAUCUAAAACCCUAAGUCCUAAGCCCUUAGAACUCCUAAACCGUAAAAACAUUAAUGAUUCUAAAAAAUCCUUAAAAAUCCUAAGUCAAAAAAAACUCUUAACCUAAAAAAAUCCAAGAAAAACUUAAGCUCUAAACCCUAAGAAAACCCCAAACCCUAAACCCAAAAAAGCACUAAGAAAAACCUAAACACGAAAAAACAACACAAAAAACUAUAAAAACCUAUAAAAAAUCUUAAACCUAACAAACAUAAACCCUAAACCCUAGAAAAACCACAAACCUAAAACACUAAACCCUAAAAGACCCAAAAAAAACUAGGAGACCUUAAAUGUUAAACUCAAACCCUAAGAAACCUAAACCCUAAACCUUAAUGAUAAACCCCCAAGCCUAAUCCUUAUGAAACUCUAAGAAUCCCUAAAUCCUAAGAAAAACAAAACACUAAAACCUUUAAAACUCUAAAACUAAAAAUCCCGAAAACAAACCUUACAAACCCUAAAAAAAUUCCAUAAUCUAAAACCCUAAGUCCUAAGUCCUUAGAACUCCUAAACCGUAAAAAAAUUAAUGAUCCUAAAAUAUCCUUAAAAAUCCUAAGUCAAAAAAAACUCUUAACCUAAAAAAUCCAAGAAAACUUAAGCUCUAAACCCUAACCUAAAAACCUUUACCCAAAUACCUAAACUCUUAUUAAUCAUGUUCAGAUUAUACCAUUGUUCAAUAUGCUCUAUUCAGUUAUAUAUAUUUGUUCAGCUUUAUCCUACCAUGCAUGCUCAGUACCUUUCAAGUCAUGACACAUACUCUAAGCCUAAUCCUUAUGAAACUCUAAACCUUAAACCCUUAUAAACCCUAAUACCUUAAAACCUAAGAUCCUAAACCCUAAACCCUAAGAAACCUUAUACCUAAGAAACCCUAAUACCCUAAACCCUAUUAAACCUUAAAAACCUUUAAAAACUCUAAACCUAUAUUCUCAAAAAAAAAAAAACGCUUUUAAAACCCCUAAAAACCAUAAACCCAAAAAACAAUAAGCCCUACACCAUAAUUUACCCUAAAAUCAUUUUAAAAGAACCCUAAACCCUAUGAAACCCUAAACACUAAAAAUCACUAAGAAAACCUAAACCCUAAAAAUCACUAAGAAAACCAAAACCUUAAAAAAACACAUUAAAUCCCCUAAACCUAAGGAACCUUAAAUCCCAAUCAUUAAACCCUGAAUCCUUUACCCCUAAAUCAUAGGCCAAAAACCCAAACUCUGAGAAAACCCCAAACCCUAAACCCAAAAAAACACUAAGAAAAACCUGAACCCUAAAAAACAACACAAAAAACUAUAAAAACUCUAAACCCUAAAAACCUCUAAAAAAUCAUAAACCUAACAAACACAAACCCUAAACCCUAGAAAACCCCUAAACCUAAAACACUAAACCCUAAAAAAUCGGAAAAAAAAACUAGGAGACCUUAAAUGUUAAACUCAAACCCUAAGAAACCUAAACCCUAAACCUUACGGAUAAACCCCCAAGCCUAAUCCUUAUGAAAACUCAAAGAAGCCCUAAAUCCUAAGAAAAACAAAACAAUAAAAACCUUUAAAACUCUAAAACUAAAAAUCCCGAAAACAAAUCUUACCAACCCUAAAAAUAUUCCAUAAUCUAAAACCCUAAUUCCAAAGCCCUUAAAACUCCUAAACCGUAAAAACAUUAAUGAUCCUAAAAAACCCUUAAAAAUCCUAAGUCGAAAAAAACUCUUAACCUAAAAAAAUCCAAGAAAAACAUAAGCUCUAAACCGUAACCUAUAAGCCUUUACCCAAAUACCCAAACUCCAAACUCUUAUUAAUCAUGAUCAGAUUAUACCAUUGUUCAAUAUGCUCUAUUCAGUUAUAUAUAUUUGUUCUGCUUUAUCCUAUCAUGCAUGCUCAGUACCAUUCAAGUACUGACACAUUCUCUACGCUACAUCUUCUCGUGAUGUAGGUACAGGUCCUCGACAUUCGGAUCAUGUGGAUAUCGGUUCCCGAUCCGUAUUCAGUCAUAUCAGUGGUGAGUCCUCGUUCUUCGAGGACGAUUGACAUGUUUUAUAUUCUGUCUUUCAUUUUAUUUAGUUUUGCUAGAGUUAGUUGGGGGCAUGUCCCAGUAUCUCUAGUAAGUUAGAGGCUUUGAUUCAGACAUUGUUUUUGUCACUCCCCGAGGUUACUCCCAAGACGUAACGCGGGACUUAGGAUCACGAGUAACCCCAAGCUAACCUUGAGUUGGCAUAUCAUAAGCAUAUUAGAUCAACACCUUAAAAAACCUUUAGUAACCUAAACCUAAGAAAUUUGAAACACCUAAGAAAUCCUAAACACUAAACCCUUAGCCUUAGGGAAACCCCUAAACCCCAAGACCUAUGAAACACCAACAAACCCUAAACCCUAAGAAAUCCUAAACCCUAAAAACACCUUUAAAUACAGUAAACUUAAAAAUCCCCUUGAAACCCCUUACCCCUAAAAAACCCCAAAUCUAAAAUCCUAAGCACAAAACUCAAAGAAAUCAUAAUCCCUAAGAACCCCUAAACCAUAGAAAAUUAUAAAAAUCUUGAAAACCCUUUUAAAAUCCUAGAUCGAAAAAAAAUUCUAAAUCUAAAAAUUUUUGCAAAAGCUUAAGCCCUAAGCCUUAAACCUUAAAAUCCCUUGAAUAAAAAACUUAGACCUUCAACCCUAAAUCCUAAGAAACCCUAAAUGCUCAACUCUAUGCCCAAAGAAACCUUAAACCUUAGGGCUAAACCCUAAGAGUCUACCUAAAGAAAUAAAAAAAACACUAAAAAACACAAAAAAGCCCUAAACCCUAAACUUUUAAAAACCCUGAACCUUAUAAAAACCCUAAACUCUAAGAACCCCUUAAUCGUAAAAAAACCAUAAAUGUCCUAAACAUCCUUUAAAACCCUAAACCUAAAAAUUGCUCUAAACCUAAUAAAACCGUAGAAAAUCUUAAGGCCAAAACCCUAAUAAAAAAAACCUAACCCUAAGAAAUCCUAUACCCUAAGAAACUGUAAAUCCUUAAAUCUAAACCAUAGAGCUAACCUCUAUACCUCAAACCAUAUGAAACACUAAGAAAUCCUAAACCCUAUGAAAACCUAAACCCUAAAAUCCAGUAAAAUCCCUAAAACUAUAAUACUCAGGGUAAAAAAUAAAUCCCUUUAAAACCCUAAGCCUUAAAAAAAUCCAAUGUCCUAAAUCCUAAACACUAAACCAUAGGGCUAAACCCUAAACCUUAAACCAUAUGAAACACUAAGAAAUCCUAAACCCUAAAAUCCAUUAAAACCCCUAAAACUAUAAUAGUUGGGGGAAAAAUAAAUACCUUUAAAACCCUAGGCCUUAAAAAAAUCCUACGCCCUAAAUCCUGCGUAACCCUAAAUCUUAAGAAAUCCAAAUUCUGAAAAAACCCUAAGAAACCCUAAAACAUUUAAAAAGCCUAAUCAUAAAAAUAAUAAACCUUAAAAAACCAAAAACCCUAAAAAAAACUCUUAACCUAAAACACGAAAACCUAAACAUUAAACCUUAUACCUUAGGGCCUAAACGCUAAACCUUUGGACUUAACCCUAAACAUAAAGAAACCCCUAAAAACCUUUUAAAACUCUAAACCUAAAAACCCUUAAGAAAUCAAAAGCAUAAGCCCUUAAAAAACUCAAAAAAAAUAAUCUUUAAAUGUAAAACCCUAAGCCCUAAACUCUAAACCAGGAAACCCUAGCAUAUUCUAAGAAACACUAAACCCUAAGGAACUCUAAACUUUAAACCCUUAUAAACACUAAUACCUUAAAAUCUAAGAUCCUAAUUACUAAACCCUAAGAAACCUUAUACCUAAGAAACCCUAAUAAACUAAACACUAUAAAACCUUUAAAAACUCUAAACCUAUAUUCUCUGGAAAAAAAACCGUUUUAAAACCCCUAAAAACCUUAAACCUAAAAAAAUAGUAAGCCCUACACCAUAAUUUACCCUAAAAUCAUUUUUAAAAGAAUCCUAAUCCCUAUGAAACCCUAAACCCUAAAAAUCACUAAGUAAACCUAAACACUAAAAAUCACUAAGAAAACCAAAACGUUAAAAAAAUACUUUAAAACCCCUAAACCUAAGGAACCCUAAAUCCCAAACUUUAAACCCUGAAUCCUUUACCCUAAGAAACCCUAAAUCGUAAGCCAAAAACCCAAACUCUAAGAAAGCCCCAAACCCUAAACCCAAAAAAACACUAAGAAAAAUCUAAACCCUAAAAAACAACAAAAACAACUUUAGAAAUUCUAAACCUAAAAAACCUCUAAAAAAUCUUAAACGUCACAAAUAUAAACCCUAGAAAAACCCUAAACCUAAAACACUAAACCCUAAACCCUAAAAGACCCACAAAAAAAAACUUAGGAGACCUUAAAUGUUAAACUCAAACCCUAAGAAACCUAAACCCUAAACCUUAGGGAUAAACCCCCAAGCCUAAUACUUAUGAAACUCUAAGAAGCCCUAAAUCCUAAGAAAAACAAAACACUAAAAACCUAUAAAACCCUAAAACUAAAAUUCCCGAAAACAAACCUUACGAACCCUAAAAAAAUUACAUAAUCUAAAACCCUAAGUCCUAAGCCCUUAGAACUCCUAAACCGUAAAAAAUUAAUGAUCCUUAAAAAUCCUUAAAUAUCCUCAGUCGAAAAAAAUACUUAACCUAAAAAAAUUCAAUAAACACCUAAGCUCUAAACCCUAACUUAAAAACCUUUACCCAAAUACCUAAGCUUUUAUUCAUCAUGUUCAGAUUAUACCAUUGUUCAAUAUGCUCUAUUCAAUUUUAUAUAUUUGUUCAGCUUUAUCCUAUCAUGCAUGCUCAAUACCUUUCAAGUACUGACACAUACUCUACGCUACAUCUUCUCGAGAUGUAGAUACAGGUCCUCGGCAUUCGGAUCAUACGGAGAUUGGUUCCCGAUCCGAAUUCAGCAAUAUCAGUGAUGAGUCCUCGUUCCUCGAGGACGAUUGAAAUGUUUUAUAUUCAGUCUUUAAUUUUAUUUUCAGUUUUGCUAUAGUUAGUUAGGGGCAUGUCCCAGCAUCUCUAGUAAGUUAGACGCUUUGAUUUAGACAUUGUUUUUGUCACUCCCCGUGGUUACUCCCGCGACGUAACGUGGGACCUAGGAUCACUAGUAACCCCAAGCUAACCUUGAGUUGGCAUAUCAUAAGCAUAUUAGAUCAACACCUUAAAAAACCUUUAGAAGCCUAAACCUAAGAAAUUUGACACCCCUAAGAAACCCUUAAUCAUAAACCUUAAACCCUAAGAAACACUAAACCCUCAGCCUUAGGGAAACCCCUAAACCACAAGACUUAUGAAUCACCAACAAACCCUAAACCCUAAGAAAUCCUAAACCAUAAAAACACCUUUAAAAACACUAAACCUUAAAAAACCCUUAAAACCCUAACCCCUAAAAAACCCUAAAUCUAAAAUCCUAAUCCCUUAGAACCCCUAAACCGUAGAAAAUUAUAAAAAUCCUAAAUGCUAAAUCCUAUACCCUAAGAAACUCUAAAUCCUUAACUCUAAACCAUAAGGCUAAACCCUAAACCUCAAACCAUAUGAAACACUAAGAAAUCCUAAACCCUAAAACCCAUUAAAACCCCUAAAACUAUAAUAGUUGGUGGAAAAAUUAAAUCCCUAAGCCUUAAAAAAAUCCUAUGCCCUAAAUCCUACUUAACCCUAAAUCUUCAGAAAUCCAAAUUCUUAAAAAACCCAAAAACAUUUAAAAACCCUAAUCAUAAAAAUAAUAAACCUAAAAAAACCAUAAACCCUAAAAGAAACUUUUAACCUAAAACCCGAAACCCAAAACCUUAAACCCUAUACCUUAGGGCCUAAACACUAAACCUUUAGCCUUAACCCUAAUCAUAAAGAAACCCUUAAAAACCCCUAAAAACCUUUUAAAACUAUAAACCUAAAAACCUUUAAGAAAACAGAAGCAUAAACCCUUAAAAAACUCAAAAAAAAUAAUCUUUAAACCUAAAACCCAGAGCCCUAAACUCUAAACCAGGAAACCCUAGCAUACUCUAAGAAACACUAAACCCUAAGAAACUCUAAACCUUAAACCCUUAUAAACCCUAAUACCUUAAAACCAAAGAUCCUAAACCCUAAACCCUAAGCCCUAAGUACCCCUUAAUCGUAAAAAACCAUAAAUAUCAUAAACACCCUUUAAAAUCCUAAACUUAAAAAUUCCUCUAAACCUAAUAAAACCCUAGAAAAUCUUAAGCUCAAAACCCUAAAUCCUAAAAACCCUUAAAAAACCAAACCCUAAGAAAUCCUAAAUGCUAAAUCCUAUACCCUAAAAAACUCUAAAUCCUUAACUCUAAACCAUAGGGCUAAACCCUAAACCUCAAACCAUAUGAAACACUAAGAAAGCCUAAACCCUAAAAUCCAUUAAAAUCCCUAAUACUAUAAUACUCGGGGAAAUAUAUAAAUCCCUUUAAAACCCUAAGCCUUAAAAAAAUCCUAGGCCUUAAAUCCUACGUAACCCUAAAUCUUAAGAAAUCCAAAUUCUUAAAAAACCCAAAAACAUUUAAAAACCCUAAUCAUAAAAAUAAUAAACCUAAAAAAACCAUAAACCCUAAAAGAAACUCUUAACCUAAAACACGAAACCCUAAACCUUAAACCCUAUACCUUAGUGCCUAAACACUAAACCUUUGGCCUUAACCCUAAACAUAAAGAAACCCUUAAAAAAUCCCUAAAACCCAUUUAAAACUCUAAACCUAAAAACCUUUAAGAAAUCAGAAGCAUAAUCCCUUAAAAAACUCAAAAAAAAAAAUCUUUAAACCUAAAACCCUGAGCCCUAAACUCUAAACCAGGAAACCCUAGCAUUCUCUAAGAAACACUAAACCCUAAGAAAAUCUAAACCUUAAACCCUUAUAAACCCUAAUACCUUAAAAGCUAAGAUCCUAAACCCUAAACCCUAAGAAACCUUAUACCUAAGAAACCAUAAUACCCUAAACCCUAUGAAACCUUAUACCAAAGAAACCAUAAUACCCUAAACCCUAUGAAACCUUAAAAACCUUUAAAAACUCUAAACCUAUAUUCUCUAAAAAAAAAAAAAAAACCCUUUUAUAACCCCUAAAAUCCUUAAACCUAAAAAAACCUAAAAAAAUAGUAAGCCCUACACCAUAAUUUACCCAAAACUCAUUUUUUUAACAACACAAAACCCUAAAAAUCACUAAGAAAGCCUAAACCCAAAAAAUCAGUAAGAAAGCCAAAACCUUAAAAAAAACCUUUAAAAAAAAACUUUAAAACCCCUAAACCUAAGGAACCCUAAAUCCCAAACUUUAAAUCCUGAAUCCUUUAACCUAAGAAACCCUAAAUCGUAAGCCAAAAAACCAAAACUCUAAGAAAACCCCAAACCCUAAACCCAAAAAAACACUAAGAAAAACCUAAACCCUAAAAAACAACAAAAAUAACUUUAAAAACUAUAAAUCUAAAAACCUCUAAAAAAUCUUAAACUUAACAAACCUAAACCCUAGAAAAACCCUAAACCUAAAACACUAAAACCUAAACCCUAAAAGACCCCAAAAAAAAAACUUAGGAGACCUUAAAUGUUAAACUCAAACACUAAGAAACCUAAACCCACAACCUUAGGGAUAAACCCCCAAGCCUAAUCCUUAUGAAACUCUAAGAAGCCCUAAAUCCUAAGAAAAACAAAACACUAAAAACCUUUAAAACCCUAAAACUAAAAAUCCCGAAAACAAACCUUACGAACCCUAAAAAAAUUCCAUAAUCUAAAACCCUAAGUCCUAAGCCCUUAGAACUCCUAAACCGUAAAAACAUUAAUGAUCCUAAAAAAUCCUUCAAAUUCCUAUGUCAAAAAAAACACUUCACCUAAAAAAAUUCAAGAAAAACUUAAGCUCUAAACCCUAACAUAAAAACCUUUACCCAAAUACCUAAACUCGUAUUCAUCAUGUUCAGAUUAUACCAUUGUUCAAUAUGCUCUAUUCAGUUAUAUAUAUUUGUUCAGCUUUAUCCUAUCAUGCAUGCUCAGUACCUUUCAAGUACUGACACAUACUCUACGCUACAUCUUCUCGGGAUGUGGGUACAGGUCCUUGGCAUUCGGAUCAUGCGGAGAUCAGCUCCCGAUCCGUAUUCAGCAAUAUCAGUGGUGAGUCCUCGUUCUUCGUCCUGAUCCAAAUUCAGCAAUAUCAGUGAUGAGUCCUCGUUCUUCGAGGACGAUUGACAUGUUUUGUAUUCAAUCUUUCAUUUUAUUUUCAAUUUUGCUAUAGUUAGUUGGGGGCAUGUCCCAGCAUAUCUAGUAAGUUAGACGCUUUUAUUCAGACAUUGUUUUUGUCACUGCCCGAGGUUACUCCCGCGACGUUACGCGGGACCUAGGAUCACGAGUAACCCCAAGCUAACCUUGAGUUGGCAUAUCAUAAGCAUAUUAGAUCAACACCUUAAAAAACCUUUAGAAGCCUAAACCUAAGAAAUUUGAAACCCCUAAGAAACCCUUAACCAUA
rnacentral:lncRNA from 1 species